rnacentral:rRNA from 1 species
UAAAGUUGUUCUCAGUUCGGAUUGUAGUCUGCAACUCGACUAUAUGAAGCUGGAAUCGCUAGUAAUCGUAGAUCAGCAUGCUACGGUGAAUACGUUCCCGGGUCUUGUACACACCGCCCGUCACACCACGAGAGUUUGUAACACCCGAAGCCGGUGGAGUAACCAUUUGGAGCUAGCCGUCGAAGGUGGGACAAAUGAUUGGGGUGAAGUCGUAACAAGGUAGCCGUAUCGGAAGGUGCGGCUGGAUCACCUCCUUUCUAAGGA